rnacentral:lncRNA from 1 species
UAUGGUGUGAAGAGAAUAAGCAUAUAUGCAAGUCCUCCUCCUCUUAUGGACUCGUAAAGGAUGGAAGCUUGUGCGAGUUGUUAUAAAAUGGGAAGCCCUACUGCUUACUCACCACCCAUCUUCUCCAAGAGAAAAGAAGAGAAAAAAAAAAGGAGCCAGUAAGGCUUCCCACACAUCAUUCUUUUUUUAGUAACAUUAAUAUUUGCAUUUGGUUGUCUUUACCAAGCAAUUCAGAGACAUGGGAUCAGAGAGCUCUCAGCCGUCUUCUCCUCCUCCUCCUCCUCCUCCUCCUCCUCCUUCACGUGGAGGUGAAGAACCACCCAAAAACUGUCCGGUGGAUUAUAGUUUAUUAAAUUUAGUAGAUAAGGAUGAUAAGCAGUGUUGGAAACCAGAAAGGCUCGACGACCACAUGACUGCUCUACACAGUAAAAGGCUGCCCAUAGGCAAAUGGUGAAGUGGUUCAUACAUAGGACGUCUUAUAUAUCGCGGUCUGCUGUCAACUAAUAACAUCAAUAUUAUUAUUAUGUAUAAUAAUUAAGCUAUUCCAUUAAAGUUCUAUAUAUGUACUUCCACAAUCCAGAGCUUAGCAGACCUGGUAUGUAUUUGUAAUUUUAGUGUGUGUAUAUAUAUAUUGAGCUCUUAAGAAGAAGAAAAAUCGAUAACUCGCUAGAUUUACUGCACAUUAUUGAAACAAGAAAUAACCGUCAACUUUAAAAUCUUGCAUGGAGAGAGAGUACCGGUUGUCGCGUGCACGUUUCAGCGUUUACUCGUGUAUUUUGGUUUCCGAUCGUGCCCCUACCCAGCUCUCUCCAGUCUCCACCAAGCUUUUUGCCAUUUUCAACUCAUUUUUUUUCUUCAUGCAAACUAAAGCCAAUAUUUACACUAACUAUUUUACGCUUGUUCAGGAGUUGGUAAGGUGCACCCGGAAUAGAAUACAACUCGUUUGAUAAUUAUUUUAAAGCAAGGCUUAGUAAUUAUUUCGUUUUAGGUUUUAGUUAUAAACUUUUACUUUUCGUGCUUAAGAAAUAAAAUGUGUAUUGAUGAAAAAGGGUGGUGAGAGCAACGGUGGGAAGAGAUAUUAAAAAAAAAAAUGAAUAAAAAAAAAUUCAAGAUUUUGAAAAGAACUUAAAAAUAGUUUUUUUAUUUUUUGUUUCAGUUUUCAAUUUCUUCACCCUUUUCUUAUAUAUUUUUUUUCUACGUCUACCAUCACCAUCCUUCCUAAAGUUUGGUGCCUACAAUGGAAGAUUUGCAGUCUUAUAAAUAUUCUUUUUCACGGCUAAUUCAUCUUUUACACUUAAUAAUUACGAAAUUUAAAAUUAUCCUAUAUUUCUGCAAUUAAAAUUUAAAAAUUAUCCAAUACAAUCCAAUCUUGAGUACAAAAACGAUUAUGCGUUUCAUUGACAAAGUCCAUUUGACGUCAGGUGAAAUCAUGAUGCUAUAUUGUGUGGGGGUUUUUGAUCACUCUCAAUUGCAUCGUAAUUGAGUGGCAGGCAAUAUCGUUUUGGGAUUAUAAGGAAUAUAUGCUGCAAGGAGUUGACGUGACAAGCAAGCAAUUUAGUGAGUGGUGCUAAAUCAUCAAGAAUAAAAGUUAACAGACUUAAGUAUAGUUUGGCAUUGAGUUGCUUAAAAAAAAAGCUGCUUAUUUUCAAAGUUUUUACGUUGAAGGUGUUUAGUAAACUAUAAAAAAAACAUUAUUUUAGAAGUUGUUGUGAGAAUAAGCUAAAAUCUUCAAAAAGGCUGAAGCAGCUAAAUGCUGCAUUGGAAAACUGAUUUUUUUUCAAACCGCGUGGAGCUACAGUGCUUUUAAAGUUCAAUAACAUCCUCAAACCAGAAAUGGUGCUCCUUUGCCGAUCUCCACAAAACCCAGAAACCCACCAGAAACAACUUUGCUGAUCUGCACAAGAAAUGGAAACACACCCAGAAACCCACCAGACUACCAUAGCCAAAACCAGAAACGAUUUUCCUUUGCCGAUCUGUGUGCUAAACUAGCCUUAACUUUCUAAGACAUUGGAUACAAACAUCAAAACCCAAAAGCCAAAAAUUGAAUAAAUAUCAGCUUUAAGAUUUCACCGCCAUCAAUUCUAUAAUUUGAUUAAACACAAUUCCAGAAAAAUAAACAAUCUGAGCCACUAAAAGCUUGAAACUUUAUCGAUUUUGGAAAAGUCGAAAAGAAAUCGUGGGCAAUUUGGGUUAAAAACUAAAUACCUCUGGUUCUCCGAAGGUCCGGACUGAAACUAUGGCCAUUGGGCGUCGGUGAAGAGAGACGGAGAAAGGGAGGGACUACAGAGAGGAGUGUUUUCUGUUGUCGAGGAUUACAGACAGGAAUUAGGAAGGAAGGUGGUGGGAGGAAGAAGGGUUUAGAGUUAAAAUGGGUUUUGAUGCCACUUAACAAAGGUGUUUUCUUAAUUAUUGAUUUAUUAAAUAAUAAACUAAAUUUAAAAAUCUGAUUAAUUCAAAUGAUAUGGCUGUCCACAUCAUAUGCCACCUAAGGUGGUAUAGAAAUGUGGUAUAAAACAUGGUAUGAAUAGCAUUACUCAAAAAAAAUAGGAAGACUUCUAGAGAGACUAUUAAUAAAUAAAAGACAUGGAUUAUUAAUAAAUGAAGAUGGAUAAAAGGAAGAUAGGGCUGGUUUAUUAUUUUACAUUUAACAUUAUACUCAUUUUAUAGUUUUUUUGUCAUUUCACACAGUCACAACUGUUUUAUAUAAAAGUUUACCAAACACUACCAUACUGCUUUUUUUUUUCCAAAAGAACUUUUUACAAAAAAAAAUUUACCAAACACUCUGCUACUUUAUUUCACAGCAGCUUAUUCUCAUAGCACAGCAGAAACAACUUAUUCUCAUAACACAGCAGAAACAGCUUAUUAUCAUAGCACAACAGAACAGUUGUUUUUCAAAGCACAGCAGAAACAAUUUUUUUUAAAGCACAGCAAUAUCAAACCAACCCUGAGAGACUAAUCCCAAAAACACAUUUAAUUUUCAGAUAACAAAUUUUCAUAAUCUAAAUCCACCAUAAUUACCAGUAACAAAACACAAAUCACAAGGUGCUACAACCAUACGGUACUCGACAGAAAAUUAACCCCAUCAUUCGAUCUACAACUAAAACGAUAUGUACAGAACAGGCUACAAACAAAGGUGUCAUCUAGGUGUAUCUAACCAGACUCAAAAAACAGAAGGGGGAGGAGGAGGAGGGGGAGGAAGGGAAGGGAGGGUAAGUACCCUAACUGGAGGCGGCUGUGCAACUACAAUUAUUGAACAAUGCCUCGCAUCCGUCUUUAAUUUUUGGCAGACCCGAUAACAUUUCAAUCCUUCGUUACAGAUUGGUUGACCUCUGAUGUAUUAUCUUUCUGGCUUGGCGGAGGCACGGAUUCUCCUAUUUUCAACUCCCCACUUUGUUGUUGCUGCUGCUGUUGCUGUUGCUGAUGAUGCUGCUGCAUCUGUUGCUGCUGGAGUUGAUGGAGCUGAUGCUGCUGAAACUGGUGCUGCUGCUUCUGAGAAUGAAUCUGGAGCUGUUGAAACUGCUGUGCAGUUAGAAGAGUGUGCAUUGCUUGAUUGUUUGGAUAGAACUGCUGCUGACCCGCCGCGCCAAAAGAAGCGUAGUUCAUCAUAGGUCCACCAUUUGGCAUAGCUUGGCCAGUCAUAACUUUCAGAUGCUGAAUUUCUUCUUUCAGUGCAUUGUUCAAUGCUACGAGACAAACAAAAACAAUAAUGUUUCGGCACAAUUUCAUUCACAUAAGGAUCAAGAACCAGAAGUUACACGGAAUCCGAUCAGCAAGAAAACCUAAAUUAUAGUAUUGUACUGAUACUACACAAACAAGAUGCUACAGUCUAAUUUGAGCAAAACUUCUACAUCGGAUGCUAAUUGGCUCUAAAAAUUAACCAUCCAAUACGAUGGCCAGUCCACUUCAGGUUAGCCAGCAUGUUGUUUAUGGCCUACUACAACAUUGAAAAUGGGCAUAAAUUCAAGGAAAAUCGUUCUUGUCGACAUCGGUGGGGGAGGCAUACCCAGCACCGCUUUGAUUAGCCACAGGAAACUAGAUCCAAUGACUGUACACAGGCUAUGAAUUAGAAGCAAAUAGAGAGACUAAGAACAAAAAUCUACUCAUUUGAUAGACAAGCAGUAAAAUGGUCAAGGCAAGUCUACAUUUACAGCUCAGUAAUAAAAGCCAAAAACACAUAAACCUCUCCGACUAAACAUUCAUCAUAAAGAUGCCAACUCAUGCAAUAUAAAUUUAAAAACACUAAUUUAGUACCUUCUGGAUAAGUUGAAGAAACAAUCAAAUCAAAUCAUAAACUAGUUUAGCACAUAAUUUAGUACCAUCUGGAUAAUUUGAAUAAACAAUCAAAUCAUAAACUCAUUGUGCAAUAGGAAAUGCCGAGGAACCAAAGUUCUUUUGCCGAAUCUUAUAACGUAGACUAUAAUAAAUUAGGUAUUUGGUAAAAGCAUAUGGUGCAAAAAGUCUUCAUCAACCAAAAUCAGAAUUAGCAACCAAUUUUUAUUCUGAGUUAGCAGCAGGAAACAAUGUCUGCCAACUUAACUUAUGGCAUCUUGGAUUCUAAUCUAACAAAAAAUCAAGUAUAUGUAUGCUAGCAUCUACUUAUUGGAUCGUCCAUUACGUACAAAGUUAUUGUGUGUCAGCGUGCUUGUAUCAUGCUUAAUUUCUCCUUUCAGCCAAUGACCACAGACAAUUCAAUAAAAUUAAGGAAAGAAAUAGAUUAUAUGAAAAUUAAUUCUAAUCAUGAAAAUUAUGUACAUUGUUUGCAAACGCAGUUUCAGUUCACUGUUCUCAGCAGUCAGACCAUUUGUAUCUCUCUGCUCAUAAAGAAAUCCAUAAGAAUAAUCGCUUGUAUCUCGUUAUGUAAGCUAGAUCAAACAGUCAUGUGAGUAGUGAAGUGAAAACGAAGGGAAUCAUAAGCAAAGACAUUCAUCUAAUCAGUCCAAUAAAGAGAACCUGGUCUAAUAAAGGAAUGGGUUAAGUGAAAUUUACCUGCAAGAGAGUCAAUUGAGCAGACAAGGAUGUUGCUUCUGUUUGCAACGUCUGGACUUUCUGUUCAAGCUCAGCAAUAUCUCGCAUUUUCCUUUCUUUUGACCUUGCAGCUGAAUGCCUAUUAGCCCGGAUCCUAAUGCAUGUCAACCAAAGGUAAAAUAUUAAGCAUAAUAGUUGAAGCAACGGGGCAAAACAAGGAGACAACGAACUCUUUUAUUUUCAUUUAAGAAGGGAAAAUGAAGAAGGGCAAAAACUAGAAAGCACCAAAGAAAAUCAGAUCCACUUCAAGGGUAACAAGAUGUCACAGGUGCAUUGUUGGAUUGUAUUGCACUUGGUUUGAUGUUAUUUUAGUCGACAAUGCAAAGAUUGGAGAAACAAAGAGGAUGGCACAUAUAACUGCCCCUCACCAUUGACCUUCUCAAAUUUGGAUCACUUAAGCAUUGGAUUGUAUUCAUUCUUCAUGUUAACUUUGUUCUGCAGGCUUCCUUCCUAUGGCUAACUUAAGCAUUUGAGUUAUUCUUUUUUUUUUCAAAGAUAUUUAGCUAUUUAAGUUUUUUUUUUGCCUGAUGUUGAACGAGAUUUUAAAUUCGAAUUAUGGUACCUAUUAUACAUGGCCGCACAUGGUGUGAAGAGAAUGAGCAUAUAUGCAAGUCCUCUUGUGGACCCGUAAAGGAAUGGGAAGCCCUACUGCUUAGUCCCCACCCAUCUUCUGCAAGAGAAAAGAAGAGAAAAAAACAAAUAGAGCCAGUAAGGCUCCCCACCCAUCAUUCUUUUUUUAGUAACAUUAAUAUUUGCAUUUGGUUGUCUUUACCAAGCAAUUCAGAGACAUGGGAUCGGAGAGCUUUCAGCCGUCUUCUCCUCCUCCUCCUCCAUGUGGAGGUGAAGAACCACCCAGAAACUGGCCGGUGGAUACUAAUUCAUCAAAUUUAGUACGUAAGGAUGAUAAGCAGGAUGGGAAACGAGACACCCCCUCCUACAUAUGCAGUAAAAGGCAACCCAGAGGCAAAUGGUGAAGUGGUUCAUACAUAGGACGUCUUGUAUAUCGCGGUCUGCUGUCAACUAAUAACAUCAAUAUUAUUAUUAUGAAUAAUAAUUAAGCUCUUCCAUUAAAGUUCUAUAUAUGUACUUCCAGAAUCCAGAGCUUUGUUAUGUUUGUCCCCUAGCAGACAUGGCAUGUAUUUGUAAUUUUAGUGAAUUUUAAUUUUAGUGUGUGUGUCUGUGUCUCUGUGUGUGUGUAGAGCUCUUAAGAAGAAGGAAAAUAGAUCACUCACUAGAUUUAUUGUACAUUAUUGAA